UGAAGGUGAAAAUUUUUCAUUAAAGUUUUAAGAAGACUUCACACGUGCAUUUAAAUAAUUUUUUUAGAUAAAUUGACGUCUUUAAUAUAAAUUUUUGUAUAUACUAUCCAUCGAUAUACGAAAGUCGAAGUAUGAAUGCUCUUUUGGCCGAUUUGCAAUCGACUACUGCCCAUUUAAAUUCGACUCCAAGUUAUAAAACAAUAGCACCAACUUCUAAUUAUCACGGAUCUUCGAGUCCAAGAUUUCAACCGAGAUCAGUGUCCAGAAGCCCAUUAACAAAUCGUAAAGUAAUUACCG